rnacentral:sRNA from 1 species
AACCACCAGCUAGGCUGGGGGUUCCGGAAAGCUUUCAGCUUUGAGCCAGUUAUUAAAACCCCUUUUGAUUUGUUAAAAC